GCGGACGUGGCGGAACUGGUAGACGCGCUGGGUUUAGGUCCCAGUGCCUGAAAAGGCGUGGGGGUUCGAGUCCCCCCGUCCGCACCA
rnacentral:tRNA from 1 species